AUAGGGUCAAUUCAAUGAAUUUUAACGUUCAGUGUGUGAUAGAAGCUAACAAUAAAUCCAAUACAAAAUAUAGAAAAAUCCAAUGAAUUUCAGUAACUUGUUAUACCUAGAAAAAUUUAUAGAAAAUUCCUAUACAUUUAAUCAUUUUGAAGUUUAUAUACAUAUCAGUGUGCCUGAAUCGUUGGUUAAGAAGAAACAGGUUUCAUUAUUGUUCGGGAAACAUAAACCGAGAAGAACGAUUUUAUGUGUACUUCGGUACCAGUAAUGUUUCGCCAAAGGAUUUAACCAGCUGAACCUCAUCGCCGCGACAUUAGCCAAAAAUUUAUGGAGGUAAAUCAUUGUUUGGCUUGGAAUGCCGGACAGCAGCGCAGAAAGACAGCUUCGGAUUUCAGCGAGUAUGAGCACAGUUAUGUCUUUAACAUACAUAGAAACCAUAACCUCGCUGGAAGAACGUAAAAUUGUAUGUACCGUGUUUAAAAAUCAAUGCGUUUAAUGAUCCGAAUACGCCGAGUGGAGCGGAUAUAACGGAGUCAUAAAUUCCAUCUAGAACAGAAAAGUUUCCGACAAGUUUGUUUGUCAUCAGCACCCCGGAAUGAAUAAGGAUUUUGCGCCGGAUGAACAUGCAUCACGCAAAGGAACUACAUCCCAUUAUGGAUUUGUACAACAAAAAGUGUUAAAGUGCAGUGCAGAUUUAAUUAUCCAUUUUUGGAAGUAUUUUUUUUAAGUUAGAUUUGCUGCAAUAAAUGUUAAACAUCGAGAAAAA